UCUGAUUGUUGGCAUUACCACCACUGCUGCUAUUUUGACUCUGCCCCUGCUGGCUCUUGUGAAUCUCAGACCAAACCUCAUCCACUGUCUUCCGGCACAAGGGUGCCGGAAGUGUUAGUGAACCUUGCCGAGAUCAGCGACGAGCUUGAAGCUGCCGCAUCAAUGGAGGCCAAAGAAAACAAAACAAUAUGAGACUUCAUUAACAACGGGAGAAGAACAGUAUCAAUCUUCUUGUAAUUUAAAAUAAUCUUUAAUCUUCAUUGCUA